rnacentral:rRNA from 1 species
CCUACGGGUGGCAGCAGUGAGGAAUAUUGGUCAAUGGCCGGAAGGCUGAACCAGCCAUGCCGCGUGGGUGAAGGAGUGCUUCGGCAUGUAAAGCCCUAUCGGCAGGGAAGAAGCAAGACGGUACCUGACUAAGAAGCCCCGGCUAACUACGUGCCAGCAGCCGCGGUAAUACGUAGGGGGCGAGCGUUAUCCGGAUUCACUGGGUGUAAAGGGAGCGUAGACGGCCAUGCAAGCCAGGGGUGAAAGCCCGGGGCCCAAACCCGGGACUGCCCUUGGAACUGUGCGGCUAGAGUGCGGGAGGGGCAGGCGGAAUUCCUGGUGUAGCGGUGAAAUGCGUAGAUAUCAGGAGGAACACCGGCGGCGAAGGCGGCCUGCUGGACCGCGACUGACGUUGAGGCUCGAAAGCGUGGAGAGCGAACAGGAUUAGAUACCGAGUAGUC